GGUCCCAUAGCUCAGUUGGUUUAGAGCGUCGUACUAAUAAUGCGAAGGCCGAGAGUUCGAGCCUCUCUGGGACCA